rnacentral:tRNA from 1 species
GACAGCAUGGUGUAGUGGUUUGAGCGCUGGACUAUGACUCUUGAGACCAGGGUUCGAAUCCCUGCUCAGCCA